AGCGGGGGAGGUAUGAUCCGUGAUGUUAGCUGCACAGGUUAGCGGGGGAGGUAUGAUCCAGGACUUUAGCUGCACAGGUUAGCGGGGGAGGUAUGAUCGGGGACGUUAGCUCAACAGGUUAGAUAGGGAGGUAUGAUCCGAGAUGUUAGCUGCAUAGGUUAGCGGGGGAGGUAUGAUCCUGGACUUUAGCUACACAGGUUAGCGGGGGAGGUAUGAUCCAGGACUUUAGCUGCACAGGUUAGCGGGACAGGUAUGAUCAGGGACUUUAGCGCCACAGGUCAGCGGGGCAGGUAUGAUCCAGGAUUUUAACUCAACAGGUUAGAUAGGGAGGUAUGAUCCUGGACUUUAGCUCCACAGGUUAGCGAGGGAGGUAUGAUCGGGGACUUUAGCGCCACAGGUCAGCGGGGCAGGUAUGAUCCAGGAUUUUAACUCAACAGGUUAGAUAGGGAGGUAUGAUCCUGGACUUUAGCUCCACAGGUUAGCGAGGGAGGUAUGAUCGGGGACGUUAGCUCAAUAGGUUAGCGAGGGAGGUAUGAUCCGAGAUGUUAGCUGUACAGGUUAGCGGGGGAGGUACUUUCCGUGAUGUUAGCUACACAGGUUAGCUAGCGAGGUAUGAUCCGAGAUGUUAACUGCACAGGUUAGCGGGGGAGGUAUGAUCCAGGACUUUAUCUGCACA